GCAUUCCUACCUGGAUAUAAUCUGAGACCCAGAACACCACAGGCAGCCUUUCUCCACUGGAUUCCCAGAGGAACAGGGUCCAUCUACACCACAGGACUUCAGAGGUGAGCUACACCCUUCUGUGGGAUCAUUGCUUCAUCAGAACCACAUCUGUCACUCCAGGAGCACUGCAGACACCGUUUAAUCAGACUGCUGCCAACACCCUGCCCAACAGGGGGUCAGGUUGUGUUUUGACUGUCAAGAGAAAGAUAUCGAGACUGAGACACUUUCAUGUCACCAGAGUCAACAAUGGGGAAAAGGAACCUUUCUGCAAGAAUGUUCUAGGCAACCUCCUCAGCAACAGGAGGUGAUGUUCAGGGACCAUUUCACCAGCCCAUGAGGACACAGGAUGAGGAUAUCUGCAUCCAGCUGAGCUCUGUCAAAACCACUUUCAUGCCUCUUAUACCUUUCUUUCCAUACUGCAAAUCCAUGUUAGGUUCAAGACUGCUUGAGAUAUCUGUGGCUGGCAAUGAACAUCCUACCCACUGCUGGUGCUUUAGGAGCCCUUUCUGCAGCACCUGCCUCUUUGGGACAGGGGCUGGGGCACACAGUAGCUCAUCACCUCAUUUUAACAGCACAGCUGAUAUCUUGGUGCACUAACUUCAGUAAUUUCACUGCAGGAGAGCUGUAAUUCUGACUGUUGUAAGAAUACAGACAAAUUUGUCACCCUGCUUCAGUCUGUGAACUGAAGAUAAAUAUAUAGAUUGUUUGACCCUGGAUACAAAACCCACCACUUCCCUUUAUGCUUCUUGCAAUUUGGGAAAGUUUGCCCAGAAAGGGUAAGAAAACAUUCAGCUGCUGCAGGUCCUCCUAAGCCCACCAGCUUGUUUGUUUGUUUGUUUAAUUUGCUACAUAUGAUUAACUCCACUGAGUUUCUGCCAGGCAGGAUUUGCAACUCAAAGUACUCCAUGAGUGUGCUGCAACACUGCCAGGAAGUGAACACCCCCAGUCUUCAUAGCUGCUGUUUUUCUGUGGAAAAUGGAAAAAUAGAAACUUCCACAGGUGCUGAAGGGCUCAAUCUGCAGCCUUAGAAAGAGCUUGGGUUAAUUUAAUCAUAAAGGUACACUAACAUUAAGUAGGAAAAUGAUAAACUAAUGUUCCUAUAGUUAUAAGUCAGAAUAUGUCUUGAGUAAGUAAGAAAUUAUAUUGGGUAAAAUAGUGAGAGGUUUGAGCUGUAAUAAUGGGAUUUAUAAGGUAGGCUAAGGAUCUAGAAGCUAUAAUAGAGGUGUGUGUGUGUGUAUGAGUACAUGACCUAUGAGGUUUUUGGCUGAAAGACAUACACAGUGGGGAAGAAUUAGGCAAAAGUGAUCAGUUAAUAAGUAGAAACAAGUUUUGUGUUAACUGUCUAUUGGACCAAAAUGUUACAUAUUGCUGUGUGAAGAAGAAACCUGUGGCUACCUUUAAGCUAUGGCUGACUUGUUGCUCCUCUCCAAAUCUCACACCUUUGAGAUUGAUAUCUCACCUGGCUUACUUGAGCAAUAAAUCACCUUAAAUAGCACGGUGGUCCCAUCCCUUGUUUUUCAUCUCGGUGUUUUUCCAAAGAACAGGUAUAGCAGGCUAUAAAUGGAAAUCAGAAAAUGAGAUUUUCUUUGCCUGCUAGUUCUUCUCCUGGGAAUUUUAGUCCUUUCCUCUGUGCACAUGCUUUGGUUGUUGGUGGCAGAAGUUGGUAAUAUGGGUCUCUCAGAGCAUCAGUCACUGCAGCCCGUUCUGAAGCACUGCAAUGCCAGUGGACAUGGCAAAUCAUUCCCACUAGUACCAACAUUUUUUUUUUUUUAAUCUAAAAUCACAUAUUAGAUCAAAUCCAGAUCAGGAUAGCCUGAUUUACCCCAUGAUUCCAGUGACAGGUAAUUCAAAAUUAAGGUUUACCAACUAAUUAAGGUAUUUCCCAGCUACCUGCACUUCCUUUUCUAAUAGUGGUAAUCCAUUUGCAGCUCUCAGUUUUGCAGAUUGCCUGUCACCUCCAGUGGAUGAUCAAAGUCUAGCCAUGAAUGCAGGCAUUCUGGACUUGCAGUCCUCUCAAUAUCAGGGAUGUCUGGCCUUGCCUUCAGUCUAUAGCACAGACACUGCCCUCCAAAUCAUCCAUAUCAUAUGGAUCUAAUGCAAGAACUUUGCACGGCCUUUAAAUCUGAGAUGUUCCACUUACCAUUCUUCUGUCACCAAUUCUUCUAUCAUUAGUUCUGUCAUUCUCAUGAAUUAUGCUUUGUGCUUUUUUUUUUUUUUUUUCUGGAAAAAGCUUUGCAUUAUUAGGAAUUCAAGAGAUUAGGUUUUGCUACAGCAACAUGCAGAUCUCAGAACUUAACAAACCCUCACAUGCACUUUUCUCCUGCCCCUAAUGGUAAUGAGAAGCAUUUUCUGGGCUAGGAAAUACCCUCAUUAUUUCAUGUCAGGGUGAUACUAGGCCUGUAUCCUCUUGUUUGAUUAAAUGCUAAUCACAGGGUCAAAAAAUAAUAAUCCUUUGAUAUUUUAGUCAAUUGUAGUACUACUGAGAAGCACUCUCUUCCUGCCUAUAGAAAUCAAAAAAUACAUUUAACCUUGGAAAAACAUGAUUCAUGUUAUUUUCUUCACUGAAGGAAAAGGAGUGGGCUUUUUUGGGUACAAGCCUAUUCAGUGAAAGAUAACUUAGUCAACAGGGGUCAGCUCUGGCACUGAGAGAAGAUGAAAGAUUUUGAGAGAAUAUGUGAAAAAACCAGAUGGCUUUAACUAAAUUAAUAGAAAACAUAUUUUGUGUUUUACCCAGCCAUCAUGUGAUAAUCCUGACAUCCCAAACUGUCGUCACAGUCACACUCUCACUCUCUUAGCCUUCCACUUUGCUUUGUCAUUUACAGCAUUCAUGUGCUUGACUUCAAGCAACUGAUGCUGUUCACUGGUUACUUGGUUUGACAUUAAAAUAUCAUUAAAAUUGGAAGAACAUUUAGAAAGUUGGAGGAUGGUACCCACUAAAAAUUCUCAGAGCACAGUGAAAGAUGUAAAGUGACUGAACUCUUGGAUUUACUUUGAAGAGGUCCUGUCCCCCUCUGUCUCUCCUUGCCCACCCUUGCUGAUGCUGCUUCCUCUGCACCUUUCUCAUGGAGGCUCCUUUCUUUUCACGUGAUUUAUUCAGAUGUCUUCAUCCUCAUCCCUCUCUAGUCCUCCUCCAGAAACAGCUGGAGACCCAGCAAUUACCUGUGCCUACCUCCUUGCCUUAUCACCAGCUCAAAGCUUUCAAAUUAUUGUUGGUAAUGGCUGACCCCCAUCAUUUAAUUGUUGUAGUUUGUUUAUUUAAUUUUGUUAAGGAUGUGUUGAAGCUUGUUAGUACGUUCUUGUUUCCCCCUGUUGAUUGUAUUGGUUUGGCCCCAGCUGUCAGUUAUGUAAACCCCUCCUAUUUUUCCUGAAUGUUCCCUGCCAGUCACCUCAGCCCUGCCCCUACACCUCUUUCCAUCAUUGUAAACCCCACCCCUUCUUCCAGAGCUUUCUGUAUCAAUCAGUUAUCCCUCGAGGCCCCACUGGUUAGUGUCUCUUGCUCCCUCCCUCUGUGAACCCCUAUUGGUCUGGAAGGUGUGAUCCCCUCCCCUUACUCCUCCUCUCAAGAUUCCCCAUUGGUCUGCAGUGUGUGCCCUCCCCUGGGGUCAGGCCAUACUUAACUCCUUGCACAGCAAUGCUCAGGGCUCCCUUGGACCUGAUCCCUUCCAGCAUGGGCCCCUCGUUUCCCUCUCCUAAUAAAACCAUUGCUGGGAACUGCAGUCCAGGAACUACAAUCUGCUUUCUUGUCCCCACACCUGACACCGUGCACCACAGAGCUUGGGGUGGCCCAAGACCCUGGAGGUUUCACUGAGGGAAAAGCCAACUCCCCAGGGAUUCCCCACUCCUGGUGUUUGCCUGUGCUGGAGUGCAGACACCACUGUACAGCCAGGCAGAGCUCCAGUGCAGCGUCAUUUAACCCCAGUUUUCUCUGUAAAACCCCUUGUCCCAGGACUCCUUUGUCCUUGAGCCACAGUGGUUCCUCAAAAUUAGAGGAGCAAGAAUGAACAGGUUAGAGCUGUAAGGACACACAGCUCUCAGCCAGCAGCAUCCUGACCUUCAGCAGAGUCCACGAGUCCAGUAACCACUGAAACUUUACAAAGUUACGUCUAAAGGGUGGUGACCACAGGUCCAUCCCUGUGUUUGCAGCAUCCACCAGGUGCUUGAUUCCAUUGAUGAUCCUAUGGGCUAUCAAAGAGAGUUAAUAUCAGGAUAUGUAUCAGAAAAGCAGCUUUUCUCAGAAUAGAAAUGGAGAUCAGGAGGCAGAAGCCCUCAGUGCCUAAAUAGGGUUUAAAUCUGAACAAGAGGUGUGGGCUAAUCUAUCCUGCUAGAGCAAGGAAUACUCUGGUUUUGUUAUUCGUGUUUUCUUACAUUGCCCCAUGUGCUGUGCAGGCACAAAGGAACUUGUGCAGAACAUCAGCAGUGCUAAAUCAUGAUCCUCAUCUCCUGCUCUCCCAGCCUUCCACCAGAGGUUAUUUUUCACCACCAACCUAAAUGGGCUCAGAAGAAAGCUCUGUCUUUGGUUUAAAUAAUUCAGUACUUUGGCCUGGAUAUUCUGAGAGGCCCCACGAAUCUCAGCCUUCACAGCAAUUUCUAAAAUAAAGUAAAAGCAAUAGAAUAAAAUGAAAUAACCUAACAAUAAAUUAAAUAAAAUAAAUUAGUCUAAGUCACCAUCAGCUUUAUGACUGAGCUCUUCUGCCACAUUCACAGCUCCCACUUGGGAUCAGACCUGCUGCUUCUCCAUCUUGGUUGGUUGGUGUCCAAGGCAAUGGCAAGACAGCAGUUUAUUUCAGCUGAAAAUUUGAUGCCAGGCUAUUUUGGGACUGAGUGAAACUUGUCCUCCAUAAUUACUUUACAAUCAGUGAAGAGCUCUUUCUAGAGCAGCCUGAUGUGAUACAAAACAUGCUUUAAAUAUUCUGGGCUUGUACUGCGUAACAGCAAGAAAGGACAAUGGCCUGCAGAGUGCAGGGUGCUCAGUAGAGAGGCCACAAAAGUGCUGUGGCUGUCACAGAAUGGGCAGAAAUAAACCACUUAAGCAGCUAACAGGGGACCAAGGAAAUCCACAGGAGAGCUGGAAAGUUUAUGAUGUGUGAUAACACAUCACUCUGUAGUGCUAUGUGGAAUUUUAUUACAAAAAUACAUGUACUUUGAGAAAUGAAA